UCAUUUGGUUAGGCCAUGUAGCGCCUGAGUCAAUUUGAAGUUGAACUGAAGCUAACUCUACACCAGCAUUCUCCAGUUCAACUUCAUAUGGACUCAGGCACUACAUGGUCUAACCAAAU